GACGAACGCUGGCGGCGUGCUUAACACAUGCAAGUCGAACGGAAAGGCCCUGCUUUUGUGGGGUGCUCGAGUGGCGAACGGGUGAGUAACACGUGAGUAACCUGCCCUUGACUUUGGGAUAACUUCAGGAAACUGGGGCUAAUGCCGGAUAGGAGCUCCUGCCGCAUGGUGGGGGUUGGAAAGUUUCGGCGGUUGGGGAUGGACUCGCGGCUUAUCAGCUUGUUGGUGGGGUAGUGGCUUACCAAGGCUUUGACGGGUAGCCGGCCUGAGAGGGUGACCGGCCACAUUGGGACUGAGAUACGGCCCAGACUCCUACGGGAGGCAGCAGUGGGGAAUAUUGCACAAUGGGCGGAAGCCUGAUGCAGCAACGCCGCGUGCGGGAUGACGGCCUUCGGGUUGUAAACCGCUUUCGCCUGUGACGAAGCGUGAGUGACGGUAAUGGGUAAAGAAGCACCGGCUAACUACGUG
rnacentral:rRNA from 1 species